ACAGCCUCUACACCCAGUGUCUCAGUUGGAGGGCGCAGCACCGACAGACGAGGACUCGGCGUUGGCCUCCGAAGUCAAGACGUGAGGAGCAGAGACACACCGCGAGACAGAGGAAACACAAGCUCACCCAGACAGCGGGACAGACAGAGGAGAGAUGACAGAGAGUCAAUGAGAGAGACCAACCCAAGACCGAGCCCCACUCCCAGCCGCAGAGAGUCCCAGUCUCUGUGGAGCAGGUCCAGUCAGAACCAGCUUGCCCCAGCUGUGGCUCCCAGUCCAGCCCCAGCCCCGCCAACCCCAGUUCCAGCCCCAGCCCCAACUCCUGCCCUUACGCCUGCAUCAACCUCAGGUACCUUCCAUCGUUGACAUUUGCUGCCCCCAGCUGGCUAAUCUUGCACAGUGUCACACCUGUUGUACUUCAUCUCUGUUUUCUCCUCCUGGUUCG